UAAGUCCCGCAACGAGCGCAACCCUCGUCGUUAGUUGCUAACAGUUCGGCUGAGAACUCUAACGAGACUGCCUGGGCAACCAGGAGGAAGGUGAGGACGACGUCAAGUCAUCAUGGCCCUUACGUCCAGGGCUACACACGUGCUACAAUGGGGUAUACAAAGAGCAGCGAUACGGUGACGUGGAGCAAAUCUUAAAAAUAUCUCCCAGUUCGGAUAGUAGUCUGCAACUCGACUACUUGAAGUUGGAAUCGCUAGUAAUCGUAGAUCAGCAAUGCUACGGUGAAUACGUUCCCGGGUCUU
rnacentral:rRNA from 1 species